UCUCUUUUUUCCUUGUGUAUCCCCUGAGUAAUUUCUGUGGGUUGUAAUCCCUUGUUGGUCCUGUUUCUAGCCACAUCUAGCAAAUGGAAGCAGGUUUGCUGAAAAAAAAAAGCCAAAAUAGACUAGGCGAAGCUGGUAGGCUAGACACAAAUCAUGAGGGGGAUGGUCCUGUCACAAGGAUGACUGAACUAGCUGUGGGUGAUGGUAGGAGGCGUUGUUUGAUGGACUAUGCAACAGGGCCUUUGGUUGAUUGUACUAUGUUGAUUUUGUACAUGGGGAGGAGAGCCCAUAGACGGUCGCGUUGAACCGUUAACAAAUUCGGAGUCUUGUUGUGAUUGCUUGUCCUCUGAUGAUCGACUUUGUGCCAUGGGUUUUCUAACAAUAAGCUUGCUCCCAAGUUAUGCAGGAUGUCAAGCCAAUGAAGAUGGACAGUGAUGCUCGGGAGGUGCUACAAGUCAGGGCUACUGGGGGCAUAAGGUUGUGUAUGUCAGACACAGUGAUGCAUGAAGCCAUGGACAGGACUUUGUCAAUGCAGAUAUGAGACAAAUUGAAGGCUCAGUUUAUGUACUAGACCCUGAUCUAGAAGGCCACAAGUUGUGGGAGAGAGAGAGACCUCUAAAUAUUGUCGGAACUGACGUUCCAAAGUAAACCAUUCGUCUUCGGAGGCCCCGUAUCCAUGCUCCCGGUACAUCAAUUGGAUUUGUGCUUGACUGAUGGUCAGCAAACAACUACAUCACAAAAUUUGUACCACAUAUAAAUCCCAUGACCAAAAUCUUAACUUUCUAUUACUGGCAGUCGUGACUACAAAAAAAUUAUGCUCACCUCAUUAACUUGAAAAUAUGUCCCAUUAAGCGGAAAGCUUCCUCUCAUUGCUGUCCGGCAUGGUAUCUGCUUGAAUUUGUCACACAGUGAUUAUUUUUGCUUUAUGGAUAUUAUAUAUAUGCACAUAAAUUUAUCAUCAUGUUUAAAAAGGUUUUUCUGCGAGUAACUCAUUUAGAAAACCUAUUAGGAACUUGCCAGAAUUGUUGUUCUGACUUUCUGAGCCUGAAUUUCCCGUGCACUGUUGCCGCUAAAGCAUGUUGAACUUCCACAUAGUUUACUGGUUUCGUCGAAGUUACAGAAUGUCUUUGGUGCAUCAGCUGAUUGUGCUGUUUCACCUGUUUAAAUUUCCAGCAUUAUUAACAUGUAACUAGGAUAAAGUUUCAAGUGCAUGCUCUUGCCUCGGGUCCAAACAUAAAGAUGAUAUCGACAGUGAUCGUCUGGCUCUCUUUUGUCGAACUGCAAAUAUGUAAGCAAAACCCUGGCUUUAACGCAUACUUGAUUAAUAAAAAAAAGUGCCUAAGUUGCUAUCUGCUCGGAACUUACUCCUUUCAGAAUAGGGUGCCAAUCCGGCAGUUCAUAGCUGCAAACAAAUUAAAUUAAAUAAGUCAAAACAAUAAGCUGCAAACAAAUGAAAUUAUACAUAGAUAGAUGUGUGUGUUCUCCAUCCUGAGUGAUGCAGAUAUUACAAAGGAACUCUGAGAUAUUCUAAUUAGUUUAAUAUCAAGGAAAAAUUCAUACACUUUGUGUACACUCCUCAGGCGACUGACGUUCUUGAGCUUGCGAGUUGGAAUAGAUGCAGCUUCGGGACUUAUAGCGACCAAGGCCUUUGACAUGAUCGGGGCUUGAUGGUUCCUCCACAAUUGGCUGAUGAUUACCAGAAGCAACAUGGCCGUGAUGGUUUGCAUUCCACUCAAAAUGACCCUCUGGUCUCGGGUCUAUGUAUGUUUGGUGGCACAUCUCUGCGACCUUUAAAUUUUCUGAUGCAACCGAACUCUUCUCCUCAGGACCACUAUGGAGACCGCUCAGUAAGCGGUGUGCUCGCAACAACAUUGACAGGAUCAUUGCCGAGCUUCGCUCCAUCGCCUCCCGUCCCCGCCACCACCGCCGGAGCCGGAUUAGCUUGUUGCUCUAUUUCUUUGUUGGGGUUGUUGUGCUGUGCCCCCAGCUAACCUUGCACUCUUCUUCGGAACUAGACUAGUUUGUGUUUUGUUUGAACUGCUCCUGUACUGCUGGUGUGACCUUGUUUUGCUUGGUGGUUGCUUUGUAAUAUAAAGAGGGGGGAAAGCCUUUUUCGUCGGUCAAUAGGUCUGAUAGUUUUCUUAAAAUGUAACUGGUUACUUACUUUGCUGUUUCUGGUUCGAGAUCUCUCAGCCAUUCAAGAUCAA